CAGCACCUCAAGUGGUCAGGAUGAUUAUUGGGCCUAAAGCAUCCGUAGCCGGCGCUGUAAGUUUUCGGUUAAAUCUGUACGCUCAACGUACAGGCUGCCGGGAAUACUGCAGCGCUAGGGAGUGGGAGAGGUAGACGGUACUCGGUAGGAAGGGGUAAAAUCCUUUGAUCUAUUGAUGACCACCCGUGGCGAAGGCGGUCUACCAGAACACGUCCGACGGUGAGGGAUGAAAGCUGGGGGAGCAAACCGGAUUAGAGACCCGGUAGUCC
rnacentral:rRNA from 1 species